GUUGGUUGAAAAGCACCUGGGUGGCCAUGGGUGAGAUUCAGCAGCCAGAGCCAUGGCAGCCUCAGCUCACCGCCCAGCCCAGUGCAGGGAGGAGGAAGCCAGGCCCUGACAGGU
rnacentral:snoRNA from 1 species